rnacentral:tRNA from 1 species
GCGCCGCUAGCUCAAUGGCUAGAGCAGCCGGCUUUUAACCGGCGGGUUCAGGGUUCGAGUCCCUGGCGGCGUA